rnacentral:misc_RNA from 1 species
UGGCGUCCAGCUUGGCUGGCGGCGUCCCGUGCUUGGCACAGUCGUGGCGGUGCUUUGUCCUUCGACAUAGCAUCGAGCGUCUGGUUGGGCACGGGCGCUGCCAUGCCCAAGUGAAGGCGUGUGAGUGGUGUUGGGAUCGGGUGGCCGCGCAGGCUCCCUGCUGCUGCAGCGAACUGUGCGACCCCGAUCCUCCUCAUUGGUGUUGCCUCGAUUGACCCUGCGUGCGAGGUGCGGAUAUGGUUCUUGUGUUGCUUACCGAUUUCGGCGGAAUUGCGUCCCUAGUUGAUUCCCGGUCCGUUUAUUGCACCGGCGGUGCGAUGCGGCGUGAAAGGGGCCCCUCAUUGUCCCCCCGUGGAUUUGCUGUGCGUGUCCUCGGGACGGGCAUGGGGGCGUCACCUAGUUCUCGUGGGUUCGGAAGAUCUAUGCGGGCGUCGGGCUUUGUCCUUCGUACGCCCGAUAAGUGUGUCCCAUACGAACGACUGUCGCUCCCGCUCGGGCCUUUCCCACCGGUAGGUGGCGAUGGCCUCGCGGGGGACGAUGUCGGUGAGGAAUGC